GCGCCCGUAGCUCAACGGAUAGAGCAUCUGACUACGGAUCAGAAGGUUGGGGGUUCGAGUCCCUUCGGGCGCG
rnacentral:tRNA from 3 species